GACGAACGCUGGCGGCGUGCUUAACACAUGCAAGUCGAACGAUGAAGCCGGAGCUUGCUCUGGUGGAUUAGUGGCGAACGGGUGAGUAACACGUGAGUAACCUGCCCUUGACUCUGGGAUAAGCGUUGGAAACGACGUCUAAUACCGGAUACGAGCUGGGAUCGCAUGAUCACCAGCUGGAAAGAAUUUCGGUCAAGGAUGGACUCGCGGCCUAUCAGUUAGUUGGUGAGGUAACGGCUCACCAAGACGACGACGGGUAGCCGGCCUGAGAGGGUGACCGGCCACACUGGGACUGAGACACGGCCCAGACUCCUACGGGAGGCAGCAGUGGGGAAUAUUGCACAAUGGGCGCAAGCCUGAUGCAGCAACGCCGCGUGAGGGACGACGGCCUUCGGGUUGUAAACCUCUUUUAGCAGGGAAGAAGCGCAAGUGACGGUACCUGCAGAAAAAGCACCGGCUAACUACGUGCCAGCAGCCGCCGCUGUAA
rnacentral:rRNA from 1 species